rnacentral:pre_miRNA from 1 species
UACCCUGUAGAACCGAAUUUGUGUGAGCAGCAAAAAUCGCAAAUUCGUCUCUAGGGGAAUA